UUCAGGACAGAUCUUGUGCCAGACGAGGUGGCCGAGAGGUUAAGGCGAUGGACUGCUAAUCCAUUGUGCUCUGCACGCGUGGGUUGAAUCCCAUCCUCGUC